GACGAACGCUGGCGGCGUGCCUAACACAUGCAAGUCGAGCGAAUGAAGUUCCUUCGGGAAUGGAUUUAGCGGCGGACGGGUGAGUAACACGUGGGCAACCUGCCUCAUAGAGGGGAAUAGCCUUCCGAAAGGGAGAUUAAUACCGCAUAAGAUUGUAGUAUCGCAUGAUACAGCAAUUAAAGGAGUAAUCCGCUAUGAGAUGGGCCCGCGGCGCAUUAGCUAGUUGGUGAGGUAACGGCUCACCAAGGCGACGAUGCGUAGCCGACCUGAGAGGGUGAUCGGCCACAUUGGGACUGAGACACGGCCCAGACUCCUACGGGAGGCAGCAGUGGGGAAUAUUGCACAAUGGGGGAAACCCUGAUGCAGCAACGCCGCGUGAGUGAUGACGGCCUUCGGGUUGUAAAGCUCUGUCUUCAGGGACGAUAAUGACGGUACCUGAGGAGGAAGCCACGG
rnacentral:rRNA from 1 species